rnacentral:lncRNA from 1 species
UCACAUUAUAUAAAUCAUGUCACAUUUCAAAAAAAGAGGUCACAUAUUACCAAAAUCAAGUUACAAAAUUCCAUUUACAUGAUGCACGAUAUACCCAUACUUUAUAUUUCACAUUGUAGGGCAUUACCACAUAAAAGAAAUAUGUUGAUUCUAACAUUGUAUAGGCACUACAAAAUCCUUACUAAUGAAGUCACCAUGAUAACAAGUGAGCAACACCUAAACUCUGCAAACUGAUCAGAAGUCAAGAAAACAUGGGCAUCUUGAUGCAAAGCAAUGUUGAUAGGUUAUAAAUGCUUCUGUGAUAGGACACAAUAUCUAAUGCUAAAAUUAUUUCAUUAAAGGUAACCUAUAAAUGACGAAGGAACUAGCCACAGGAAAUGAUACAAGCUCAUCAAAUCUAAUAUCUCCACCUCCACCGCCACCAAACCACAACCACAACCACCAACAAUAACACCACAUCACACGGCCACAACCUCCAUCGACAACAACUAGAUCUCUAGCUAUCCAAUGACCACUGCCAAACUGCCACCAGCACCACUACCCACACCACUACCCUCCACUAAAUUUUUAGCCUUCUUUCUUCCAACAAUCACAAGCAUAAUAGAUAUGUCAGUUCUGAUAUCACCUUCUUCAAUUCGAAUUGGUCACCACCAAUAUCACUUUCACCUUCACAAACCACAAAUUCAUGGCAGAUUAUAAUAAGGACCUGUUUGAUAGCCUCCAUUUUCCAUGGAAUUUCCACCAAAAUGGCAUGUUUGGUGGGCCAUUUCUUUCCAUGGGAUUCC